rnacentral:misc_RNA from 1 species
AACGAGUUAGGGUCUCCCAGGCCCGACCUCCCAACCCUUUGUUUAUUAAACCUCUGUUGCUUCGGCGGACCCGUCUUCCCUGACCGCCGGAGGACCGCCGACUCGGCGUCCUCUGGCCAGCGUCCGCCGGGGGCCUCUUCUCCAAACUCUGGUUAAGCAUGAUUUUGUGUCUGAGUGAUUUGUAUCAAAUCAAAAGCAAA